UCGACCUGAGAUUAGAUAAGAUUACCCGCCGAAUUUAAGCAUAUUAAUAAGCGGAGGAAAAGAAAACAACUGUGAUUCCCCUAGUAAUGGCGAAUGAACCGGGAACAGCCCAUCGCGUAACUGCAGGUCAUCUUGGCCUCGCGGAAUGUCGCGUUUGGGAGAGUCUCAUCGGGAGCCGGACGGCCAGUCAAAGUCCAACUUGACAGUGGCCACUGCCCAUAGAGGGUGAUAGGCCCGUAAGGCGGCCGUCCGUUUCCGCCGACUUUUCCCCAGAGUCGGGUUGCUUGGGAGUGCAGCCCAAAGUGCGAGGUAAACUCCUCGUAAGGCUAAAUACGACCCCGAGACCGAUAGCAAACAAGUACCGUGAGGGAAAAUUGAAAAGAACUUUGAAGAGAGAGUUCAAGAGUACGUGAAACUGUGUGGUGGUAAACGGAGGGGUUCUCGAAGUCUCUGUGGGGAACUCAGCCUCGGUGUUGGGCGGUCAGGGUGUGUCCGAUCAGCAAUGACGGCGCGCUUUGUCUGGCUUGGCUCCUGGGUGCAUUUUCUCCGCAGUUUACGGCAGGAACCGUUUGGCUCAGAUCGAAGGCCCUGGGUGAAGUUGUCGGUUCUGCUGGCAGCCCUGGGUGUCCUGGCUCUGCGCCCGACGGGUACGUGAGAGGACUCGUAUAGCGAGCAACGCUCUGUUGCGU
rnacentral:rRNA from 1 species